UACAGAGGUCUCAAGCGUUGUUCGGAUUCAUUGGGCGUAAAGGGUGCGUAGGUGGCGAGGUAAGUCAGGUGUGAAAUCUCGGGGCUUAACCCCGAAACUGCACUUGAUACUGCCUUGCUCGAGUACUGGAGAGGAGAUUGGAAUUUACGGUGUAGCAGUGAAAUGCGUAGAUAUCGUAAGGAAGACCAGUGGCGAAGGCGAAUCUCUGGACAGUUACUGACACUGAGGCACGAAGGCCAGGGGAGCAAACGGG
rnacentral:rRNA from 1 species